GCGCGGAUGUCUGCGCAGACAGAUCGUUGCGUGUGGACUGGGCUUUAGAAAGAGCUAUGGUGAAAGCAAUGGCUGCAGUACAAAACUGUUCAGCCCUUACAUGGGUUAAAGAAGUUUGCUGAGAAAAAACUUCCCUCCUUUGGCAAACAAGAAUGGGUAGCAAUGUGAAGAACUGUUGAUGGAGGUGACAACAAGAAACAUGUCCAUUGCGAAAAACUAAUGGAUGAAAUGGAAUAAUUGAUUCUUGAUUUCCAUGCUGAUAAUACUGCGUUCAUCAACAACAACAAUCUUUACAUACUCAUAAAGAUGCACUGAAAGACAUGCUGUUAUAAAGUGAGGCUACCAGAGUGUAACAUGGCAGAAUUACUCAGUGCAUGGUGUAGACUACUGGAGUGUCAUGGUGAAAGAAUGAUAUUGUGAAAAUGUGAGGAUGAGCAUAUGAUUACUGUGUUGUCAUGAGAUUUGGUAUUUAUCAUACAGAAAAAUUUACAUUCUGCUAAAUUGCGUAUCUGAUUCAUGUGAUGUAUAUAAUUGAAACACUGACUACAUCUAUGUGACUGCAUCUAUAUAAUGAAAAUUAUCUACA